AUUAAAAAUUUGAAAUUUUUAAUUUUAAAAUUAAAACAUGAUUUUAAAUUUUAAAUUUAAAAUUUAAAAUUAAAUUUUGAGUUUUAAAAUAUCAGAGUUAAAAUUUAAAUUUGAAAUUUAAUCUGUAAAUUUAAAUUUUUAAAUUUUAAAAAUUGAAGUUUAAAGUUUAAAUUUCAAAUAUAUAAUUACAAAUAUAAAUUAAAAAUUUAAAAUUAAAAUUUGAAUUUAAAUUGGAAAUUUGAAUCUAAAUUGGAAAUAAACUUUUGAUUUUUGAGUCCAAAAUCUGAAUCAUAUUUCAAGAAGUAGGUUUUGGCUGCUUUUAAUUUUGCGCAUUGAAAAUCAAAAAACUAAUUUUAAAACUUAAAAUCAGAUUUUGUAAACUAGGUUGUCAAUUGUUCUAUUGAGCUGAAAAUCACGUUUAGGCCCAAAAUCACUUUUCAAAAGUUAGGCAAACACCCACUAACAAUAAUGUGACAAAUAAGUUGUAGGUCUUACACUUAGUGUUUCUAAAGGCUGUGUGAGGGACAAUCCUUUGCAGACCGCACCUCAUUGUACCUAAGGCGUAGCAUUGUUCUUGGGGCACGUGCUUCGCAUGUGAGUCGCGUCUCAUGAUAUGUUAUGUAUAAAUGAGUCUUAGGUAUCAUCUUAUGUAGAAGUUAUAUUAAUGUGAUGGCUUUUUCUAUUUAUAAAUAUAAAUGCCAUGAUUUCACCUUGUAAACACCUUAGGAGUUUGUGUUGCAUUGCUCUUUUACUAGGUCUUUGCAGUAUUUGGUAUUUACAUAUACUCAUUUUUCUCAUUUCUUUUUGAAUAUGCUUACAUGGAAUAAUUAUUUUGGAAAUUUGUGUUGAAAGUGUUGUUAUGUCAUAAUCAACUUGUUACUAUGUAAUAUAUAUAAAGUAUUCUUUGUUUUCUUAAAAAUUGUGUCACGCCCUGAUCCCGGCCCAUUUGGUCGGUUUGGGCACGUCGAACAGACGCCGAACGGAUAGCAUCUCCCCUGUCCGUCCAAGGCUCAAGACAAGUACAAAUCGAGUAUGUAGAUUGCACAUGCGGAAUCAUAAUACACACAGCUUGCACCAGGGCAAGCAAUAGCCAAAAGUGAAAGAUUCUAAACUUAACAACAUACAAGUAAUAUGAUUAACUUUUAACCACAUACAUGCAUUUAAUUUUCAAUUUUUAUAUUCUUUUCAUCAUUUCUUCUCUUUAUACAUCAAGUCUCCAAAUAUAACAUGAACUCUCAACAUUACAUUUAAACUUGGUUUAUACAUUUGCAUCAUUCAUCAUAUUAACAUCAUCAAAUACAAAAGAUGAUAUGCGGGGUAUGAAACUAAACAUGCAUAGAACCAUCUCGGGUGGUCACUGUCUUUGGCGCGAUACCCUUACCGCGAUCGUCGGCUGGCUCACUCGGUCCCGGCUUUGUGGAAAAUAGUAGGGUGAGAACUACAACAAAGUUUCCAGUGGGUUCGGCCGCUGACCUCGUCGACUUUCCCAUUAGGUCUAAAUCAGGCAUAAUAGAAGAAUAAAUAGAUAGAUAGUAACCAAACUAUACAAAUGCAGCUAAUAUGGCUGAACAAGAUAUAAUCAUAAAGAUGCUCAAAUAGAAUACUCAUGAUGAAUACAAGAUCUAUUUUCCAAUUGCCAAUCCUCAUGGCUAACCCGUAGGUUUCGCCCAAAGUAACUCACCAACUCAAAUUCCUACUGUCGGGGAGACACCUACAACCCGACGGGACCGUCCUCUGGGAAGACUCCAACCCAGUGAUGACUACUCCAGAGCUCAUCGCUCAAGGUGGAGCUACCAUUCUCAAGCCAAGACUUAUAGGCGAGUAUAAUCCAAUCCUUAACUAUAAGGAUGCCAAGUUCAAUCCAUUCCUUAACUAUAAGGAUGCAAUGCUCAUAUGACCCUUAACUAUAAGGAUGUUAUGUCAUAAUGUCAACUAUUUCACUUUACUUGUAUUCUUUAACUUUCAUUGUGUCACACACACUAAAUGUUCUUUAACUCAUCCUCAUGCGUUUAUGGUCCUCAUUAAUGCCACAUUAAGUGUUAUUUCUACCAUUCAAUACUCAUUAGUGCCACACUUGUACACUAGCAUUCUUGACUCUUGAAUGCCACACGCUAGGUGAUCAUCUCUAGCAUUCAAUGCAUUCACUAAUGCCACACUUGCAUCACUAUUAUUCAUGACCCAUUUAAUGCCACUCAACCAUUUAUGUCAUAAUGUCAUUGUGUCUCUAAUGUCACUAGAUUCUUGCCACAUCUAGGUUCUUGUCAUCGUCCAUGCAUACAUAGGGUUUUUACAUGUUCUCAACAGUUCACAACAUUUCAUAUGCACUAGCAUUAAAAACAUUCAACCAACAUUUGCUCAACACACCCUACAAUGUAUGAAGAAGCUAUACUCACAUAUGCUCAAUAAUGACACUUUAGACAUAAAAGAAAAUUCAAGGAUUUCGGAAAGCAUCACCCACCUCGUAUGGUUGCUAAGGUGCUACGGCUCAAAUUUCGUGAUUUUUAGCCGCCUAUUCUCUCGCUUGCGACAAAACGGAGCUAAAAAAGGGAUUUUUCCCCAAUAUCUUUACGUAGACUCUUUGGAUCUUCGAACCGAGUCUCCCAACGCGUCGGAAAUACCUUCAAUUAGGUUUAUAUAGAGUCAAUUUACAUUUAACCCAUCUAUGACAAAAGCCCCAACUUGGUGCCCUAACAUUGCACUAUAGCAACAUACACCGUCUUGAUCUUUGAGUUAAGCAAAAAACAUGCUUAACAUCAACUAAAGAUUCCUCUAAAACCAUUUCUAGGUCAUUUGAACCAAACCCUAGACAUCUACUAUGAGAGCUCAUGAAGCUUACCUCAUAAAGCUUCCUUUUCUUGAGUCAAAGUAGAAGAAGAAGAAGAUGCUUCACUUCCUUGCUCUCUUCUCCUCCAAAUCCACCUUCAAAUCUCCUCUUCAAAAUCCCCCAAAAGCUCCUAGAGAGAGAGGGAGAAAAAUGAGAGGAGAGGGUGGGUUCACUACUGUGAACAAGAGAGGAGGGGUUGUGGUAUUUUUAUAGGCUGCCACAAUAGCAAAUAAAUCCUCCAACUAUUCUUAUUUGCAGUAGACUAAAACUGUUGCGCGCGGCACUAGGUACCGGUACUCGGGUUUGCCUCACCGGUUAAGCAGCUCAGCAGAGACCAAAACCCGAGAGCUGCUGUUUCUCGGGUUGCUGCAGGGUACCGGUACUACCCAGAACUGUCACCGAUUAAGCAGCUUGACAGAGGCCAAAUCCGAGAGUUGGCUUCUCGGGUGUCCUGCCUGGUACCGGUACUGCCGCACUGCUUCACCGGUUAAGCAGUCCCCAGACUGCAGUUUGGCAGUGCCUCGGCUCCAUUUCGCGCCGAGCAAUGCUAAAACCCUUCUAAAGCAUUCGGGACUCAACUUUAACCCUUCCAAUAUUGUUGGAAUGUCAACUGGAUUUUGUCCAACUAUUUCUCUCGACACACUUUAGUCAAUUUGACUAAAAUUCGAUAUAGCUUACCGAGGUUUCGGUAUAUUACAAAUUGUGUGAAGAUCCGCCUUACCUUCUUGUGGCGCUUACCUUGCAAGCAUGCCUCACGCCUAGCCUCUCGGAGUCCCUUGCGCCUUUUUGCUCCUCACUUCUUUAAAAAAGUUGUUCACAAUUAAGUUGGACUCUAUUCUCAUACUCAGUGAUUAAAAAAGCGCUCCCUAGGCGCGCGCCUAGGCGCUAGGCUCAAUGGCCAGCGCCUAGGUAGCCCUAGGCGCGCGCCUAGGGCAAGGCGCAAGGCGCAAGAAAGGCGCGCCUAAUAUAUAUUUGAUCCUACCGAGUUUGGAUCUAAAAAUAUAUGCUUUAAUCGGUUUGGAUCCUAUAUUUAUUAGUCUAAUGGGUUUAAAACAUGUAAAAUAAACCCAAAACCAAUCUAAUCUAAAGUUCUAAAACCUAAACAUCUAUCCGCUCUAUCUCUCUCUCGCCGAGUCCGCUCCCUUCCUCUCCUUUCGUCGAGUCCGCUCCCUCUCCCUUUCUCCGCUCGGACCGAUCCUCUAUCCCGCUCGUCCAUCACCUCCGGUUGCCUCUAUCCCUCUCUGCUUCUUCAACUCAACUCGCCUCUACCUCUGUAUUAAGGCGCGCUUUUUUAAUCACUGCUUUUAUAUGAUCAUGAUGUUUUUUUGAUGAUUUUUGGCUUGAAACUUUAAACUUUUAUGCAUAUUACUUUUUAUGAUCUUGUGCUUAUAAUUAUAUGCUUUUUACAUCAAAAUUUUCUAUAUGUUUGUGAAUUAAUAGUUACUUUUAUGCUGCCCUUUAUUUGGAGAUAAAAAAGAUAAUUUGUUCUUUACUUUUAUCUUUGUUAUUUUUUUUUUCAAAAUUAUCAUAUAUGUUGCUUGGCUUGUUUUCUUUUUUUAAUUUUUUUCCUUUUGGAAACGUGAUUAUUUAGGUAAUUAUAGAAUAUUUAUUGUGAUAAUAUGAUUUUAUAGAGUAUUGAGUACUACUUAACAAUUUUUAGAAAGUAUAGUAAGACAUUUCUUGGUUAUUUACUUAUUUCAAAAUUCUAUGAAAGUGCGCGCUUGACCUCUCUCGGGCACGCGCCUGUGCCUUGCGCCUAGGCUCCAACAGCCCUUUACGCCUAGGUGCGCCUUGAGCUUUUUUAAACACUGCUUAUACUAUAAUUGAAGAGAAAACUAUCAAACUAAUGACAUCGACCAAUUCACUUAAGUUAAAUGAACUAAACUAAAGAGAGCUUAAAACAUUGGUAAAAUUCCUUCACUUCGUUAGUAGAAGAAAAAAAUGUGAACUAUUCUUGUCAGUCCCUAGUCUAGUAGUCUUAGAGAAUUUAUGUACUAUGUGAAUCUUUGUACAUAAAGUUAAAAAGGAAAUGAAGUUUAAUGUCAAAACUUAAUUUAGAUCUUAGAAUCUGGUUGACUGGUUGCGAUCAUCCAUUGAUCAAAUUGUAUAUUUACUGUCAUGUUGGUNGUACAUAUUUCAAUUCUGUAUGGUUUUGACAGUCCACUUAGUAGGACAUUCAUAAAAAAAAAAAAUCAGAAAAAAUCAAAA
rnacentral:lncRNA from 1 species